UGCAGUCGAGGGGCAGCGCGGGUAGCAAUACCUGGCGGCGACCGGCAAACGGGUGCGGAACACGUACAGAACCUUCCUUUAAGCGGGGGAUAGCCCGGAGAAAUCCGGAUUAAUACCCCAUAGUAUUAUUAGGUGGCAUCAUUUAAUAAUUAAAGAUUUAUCACUUAGAGAUGGCUGUGCGGCUGAUUAGGUAGUUGGUGUGGGUAACGGCCUACCAAGCCUUCGAUCAGUAACUGGUGUGAGAGCACGACCAGUCACACGGGCACUGAGACACGGGCCCGACUCCUACGGGAGGCAGCAGUAAGGAAUAUUGGUCAAUGGAGGCAACUCUGAACCAGCCAUGCCGCGUGAAGGAUGAAGGCCCUCUGGGUUGUAAACUUCUUUUAUCUGGGAAGAAAUGCAUUCUUUUUAGAGUGCUUGACGGUACCAGAGGAAUAAGCACCGGCUAACUCCGUGCCAGCAGCCGCGGUAAUACGGAGGGUGCAAGCGUUAUCCGGAUUCACUGGGUUUAAAGGGUGCGUANGUGGGUUGGUAAGUCAGUGGUGAAAUCUCCGUGCUUAACAUGGAAACUGCCAUUGAUACUACUAGUCUUGAAUUUUCCGGAGGUAAGCGGAAUAUGUCAUGUAGCGGUGAAAUGCUUAGAUAUGACAUAGAACACCAAUUGCGAAGGCAGCUUACUACAGGAACAUUGACACUGNNNACGAAAGCGUGGGGAUCAAACAGGAUUANAUACCCUGGUAGUCCACGCCCUAAACUAUGGAUACUCGACAUUUGUGAUAUACAAUAAGUGUCUGANCGAAAGCAUUAAGU
rnacentral:rRNA from 1 species